rnacentral:rRNA from 1 species
UACGUAGGGGGCAAGCGUUGUCCGGAAUCAUUGGGCGUAAAGAGCGUGUAGGCGGCCCGGUAAGUCCGCUGUGAAAGUCCAGGGCUCAACCCUGGAAUGCCGGUGGAAACUGUCGGGCUAGAGUCCGGAAGAGGCGAGUGGAAUUCCUGGUGUAGCGGUGAAAUGCGUAGAUAUCAGGAGGAACACCGGUGGUGUAGACGGCUUUCUGGACCGUAACUGACGCUGAGACACGAAAGCGUGGGUAGCAAACAGG